rnacentral:rRNA from 1 species
CCUACGGGGCGCAGCAGUGAGGAAUAUUGGUCAAUGGGCGGGAGCCUGAACCAGCCAAGUCGCGUGAGGGAAGACGGUCCUACGGAUUGUAAACCUCUUUUGCCGGGGAGCAACGGGGUCCUUGCGAGGGCCCGAUGAGAGUACCCGGAGAAAAAGCAUCGGCUAACUCCGUGCCAGCAGCCGCGGUAAUACGGAGGAUGCGAGCGUUAUCCGGAUUUAUUGGGUUUAAAGGGUGCGUAGGCGGGCUGUUAAGUCUGAAGUGAAAGCCCGUGGCUCAACCGCGGAACUGCUUUGGAAACUGUAUA